UUGGCCUCCCAGAGUGCUGGGAUUACAAGCAAAAGACAGAUGAUUUUGACUUGGGAAAAUACUUGAUGGAAGGUGAAGAAAUGGAUGUUGGUCCAGACAUGGACACACCAAUGAGCCAGACGACCGAAGCUGGCUGGAACAUCACGUGGUCCAUCAGUACUAGACAGCCAGGCCCUCCCAGUUUCCUCAUAGCUUACGUUUGCACUGCAGUUUAGCUGCU